rnacentral:rRNA from 1 species
ACGAACGCUGGCGGCGUGCCUAACACAUGCAAGUCGAGCGGAGACAUGUUGACGGAAGGCUUCGGCUGGAAGACGAUAUGUUUUAGCGGCGGACGGGUGAGUAACGCGUGAGCAACCUUUCCUUCACAGGGGGAUAAGAUACCGAAAGGUGUUCUAAUACCGCAUGAGACCACAGAGCCACAUGGCACAGGGGUCAAAGGAGGAAUCCGGUGAAGGGUGGGCUCGCGUCCGAUUAGCUAGUUGGUGAGGUGACGGCCCACCAAGGCGACGAUCGGUAGCCGACCUGAGAGGGUGAUCGGCCACAUUGGAACUGAGAGACGGUCCAAACUCCUACGGGAGGCAGCAGUGGGGAAUAUUGGGCAAUGGGGGAAACCCUGACCCAGCAACGCCGCGUGAAGGAAGAAGGUCUUCGGAUCGUAAACUUCUAUCCUCGGUGAAGAGGAGAAGACGGUAGCCGAGAAGGAAGCCCCGGCUAACUACGUGCCAGCAGCCGCGGUAAUACGUAGGGGGCAAGCGUUGUCCGGAAUGAUUGGGCGUAAAGGGCGUGUAGGCGGCUAAGUAAGUCUGGAGUGAAAGUCCUGCUUUUAAGGUGGGAAUUGCUUUGGAUACUGCAUAGCUAGAGUGCAGGAGAGGUAAGUGGAAUUCCCAGUGUAGCGGUGAAAUGCGUAGAGAUUGGGAGGAACACCAGUGGCGAAGGCGACUUACUGGACUGUAACUGACGCUGAGGCGCGAAAGUGUGGGGAGCAAACAGGAUUAGAUACCCUGGUAGUCCACACUGUAAACGAUGAAUGCUAGGUGUAGGUGGUAUCGACCCCAUCUGUGCCGGAGUAAACACAAUAAGCAUUCCGCCUGGGGAGUACGGCCGCAAGGUUGAAACUCAAAGGAAUUGACGGGGGCCCGCACAAGCAGCGGAGCAUGUGGUUUAAUUCGAAGCAACGCGAAGAACCUUACCAAGUCUUGACAUCCCUCUGACCGACUCUUAACCGAGUCUUUCCUUCGGGACAGGGGAGACAGGUGGUGCAUGGUUGUCGUCAGCUCGUGUCGUGAGAUGUUGGGUUAAGUCCCGCAACGAGCGCAACCCUUAUGAUUAGUUACUAACGGGUAAAGCCGAGGACUCUAAUGAGACUGCCGGGGACAACUCGGAGGAAGGUGGGGACGACGUCAAAUCAUCAUGCCCCUUAUGACCUGGGCUACACACGUGCUACAAUGGCCACUACAAAGAGGAGCGAGCCCGUAAGGGGGAGCGGAUCUCAAAAAAGUGGUCCCAGUUCGGAUUGUGGGCUGCAACCCGCCCACAUGAAGUCGGAGUUGCUAGUAAUCGCGGAUCAGCAUGCCGCGGUGAAUACGUUCCCGGGCCUUGUACACACCGCCCGUCACACCAUGGGAGUUGGGAGUGCCCAAAGUCGGCGAGGUAACCGCAAGGAGCCAGCCGCCUAAGGCAAGACCAAUGACUGGGGUG